UUUAGAAAAAUUGCCAACAGCUUGCCACGAGAGAAGAAGGGUAAACCCCACGGACACUCAGAACUCGUUCCAUGUCUCCGUCAUUCAGUGCACGGAAAAACGGCCUCGCCACUCCAGAGCUACCAAGGGUGACGGCUUCAUGGGAUUCGAUCGAUUAUUAGUGACAUCAUCAAUGAAUGGUGAAAUCACGUUUCUCGUAUUUUGUGUGCAAGAAAGCAUGUCAUCUGUCUCAGAGCUAUUCAACUCAAAACGUUCUGCAUGCAUUUGAUUUUUGCUGCUGGAAUUGGUGAGCUUUAGUGAUCUGCAGAAUUCUCGUCAGCACGGCGUCUCGUCACUCCGCGGGGCUGGCCGGGGAAGCACGCACCCAGGACGCCAGCACGGCGGCGGCGGCACGGGGCAGACGGCAACGGGAAGAACAUACCUGGGCUCCGGUGAAGCUCAGUCAUAGAGACCCUCGGCGUUUCCAUGGGCCGAUGAUGACUGCAUUUGUAGUAAAUACAAUGUGAUGACUUGGAAACCGGCCGCCACGCUGAGUGGGUGACAGGUGGCACGCCCAGGUGGCAGGGACCCUCGUGGCACAGCAGGCUGGAUUUGCCAUGUUUACUGAUGGUGCUUCCGGAAGGAAGAGCAAAGACACGAUCCAUUUCAGACCUAGAUUUCAAGAUGACCCAAGAGCCGGCGUGUUGAAGUGACACACUUCAACAUGUCUGUCGAGGGUCCAGGGUCCCCAAGUACACUGUCGCCCUCUUCCCACCCUAUGCAUGGAAUGUCUCACUCCUCUGUGCAGAGCUCACCGCAACAGGCACCUGAACUCGAGGAAGCAACGCCUGCGACCGCUCGCUCUGCGGAGGGACUUAAAACAGGCAAUUAAAAUGCAGAGUCAGGGAGAGUGUCCCGGCAGGCAGAGCGCACAGCGCGGGCUCCGAUCUGGAGGUGAGACCAUGACACCUGCCCUCAGGGCACGCUGCCUGCCCUCCGUGGUCUGCCCAGCCUGGGAGGAAAGGGUGAGAAACAGCACAGCAGCCUGACAGAGCACGAUAUGCACUGGAGCCUUAAGAACCUCGCUCAGGAGAAACGUGGCCAGAAACAGCAGCCGACAGCGAGGAAAAAAUGAGAAUCAGCGUGAAGCAAAGCCUUGCUGGGCAGGAGCGGUCUGCAGCCCAGCGGCGCAGGAGCAAGUUCUGAAUAAUUUAACGCCCGGGAGCAUCUCGGGGUCACAGCCAGCCAAGGUCUCUAAUGACGACCUUGGGUGGGAAAGAAGGUGAGCUGUGCUUCCGGCGAUCCGUUUAGGGUGACGGGGAAGUGAGUAAUCGGAUUUAGACACCACUGAAAGAGAUUACAAUAAUGAAAGGUCUCGGGCGGUGUUAGAGAGGGGAACUCACGCGUGCGGAGAGGGUGGGGGUGGGUGGUCGGGGACGGAGGGUGCUCGGCCUCCUGCGGCCACCUGUGCUUGCAAACCCGCCUCUGGGGGGCACGACCCUGGAAGCAGUGACCCCGAGCUGGGGGUCCCAGGGCCUGGCACCAGAGUCCUGGUCCUGCCAGAGCCCGGCUUCGUGACUACGGGCAAGACUCGGUCUUUCUGAGCCCCGGUUUCCUCAGUUAUACAAAUACAGGCAAUAUCCCUUUGUCUGCCGCUUCCUGAGCUUAUUGGUGACUCUAAUGAAGUAUUGUCCAUGAAUGCCUUUUGCUCGCCGUAAAUUGCCUUGCAAAGGUGAAGAACGCGUAUGACUGCACAGAAAAAUGGCACUGCAUGUCCCCCAGGCUGCAGGGGGACAAGUGGGGGGACAAGUCCCUGCAGCGUGAGGGCUGGGGAGGGCAAGUGGGCUGACUGCACAUGGUCACCCUCCGUGACCGUGACCCUGCCCUGCCAAGACCCUGUAUAGAGCACGCAUAAUUAACCCUGCGUUCCACGGCCCGUCCCCUCGGUGGAGCAUGGGGCAUUAUCACGACAGAUUGCGAGAUUCUGCUGAUGUGAGAAUGCAGAGUCCCUAACUAGGUGGUGUCACUCUGCGUAGCUACCUGAGAGUGAGUGGAGACGUUCGUCUUGGUGAACAAUAUUUUCCUGGUUAGAGCUGGAACCCAUACUACUAAGUGAAGUAUCCCAAGAAUGGAAAGACAAGCACCACAUGGA